ACGUAGGGUGCGAGCGUUAAUCGGAAUUACUGGGCGUAAAGCGUGCGUAGGCGGUUCGUUAUGUCUGCUGUGAAAGCCCCGGGCUUAACCUGGGAAUGGCAGUGGAAACUGGCGGGCUUGAGUGUGGCAGAGGGGGGUGGAAUUCCGCGUGUAGCAGUGAAAUGCGUAGAGAUGCGGAGGAACACCGAUGGCGAAGGCAGCCCCCUGGGCUGACACUGACGCUGAGGCACGAAAGCGUGGGGAGCAAACAGGA
rnacentral:rRNA from 1 species